rnacentral:tRNA from 1 species
UCCCAUGUAGCUUAGUUGGUAAAGAAUCUGCCUGCAGUACAGGAGGCCUGGGUUCAAUCCCUAGGUUGGGAA